rnacentral:rRNA from 1 species
CCUACGGGAGGUAGCAGUGAGGAAUAUUGGUCAAUGGACGAGAGUCUGAACCAGCCAAGUAGCGUGAAGGAUGACUGCCCUAUGGGUUGUAAACUUCUUUUAUAUGGGAAUAAAAUGUUCCACGUGUGGGAUUUUGUAUGUACCAUAUGAAUAAGGAUCGGCUAACUCCGUGCCAGCAGCCGCGGUAAUACGGAGGAUCCGAGCGUUAUCCGGAUUUAUUGGGUUUAAAGGGAGCGUAGGUGGAUUGUUAAGUCAGUUGUGAAAGUUUGCGGCUCAACCGUAAAAUUGCAGUUGAAACUGGCAGUCGUGAGUACAGUAGAGGUGGGCGGAAUUCGUGGUGUAGCGGUGAAAUGCUUAGAUAUCACGAAGAACUCCGAUUGCGAAGGCAGCUCACUGGACUGCAACUGACACUGAGGCUCGAAAGUGUGGGUAUCAAACAGGAUUAGAUACCCCAGUAGUC